rnacentral:lncRNA from 1 species
AAAUAAAUAAGUUUCAUGCUUCAAUCCAAUAAAAAUAAAUACAAGUCUUGGUUAAAACAGAACAAUACCGGUAAAUUUCAUUAAGAGAAAAAAAUAUAUAAUAAAAAGGAAGGCCCAUUAAAUGUUUAUUAAGAGAAUCACAAAUUUUUUUACAUAAAUAUUUAUUUAUAAAUUAUAUAUAAAUAUAUAUAUAAUAAUAAAUUAUAUAAUAAUAUUUUCAUCCUUAAUGGGUGGGGAUGUGGACGAAUAUCAAAAUACCAUACCCGCCCCGUACCCGAUUUAAGAAUCAGAAUAUUGGGGAUCCCCAUCCCCGUUACCCGUUUAUACCCGUAUAUUUUCCCCGUUAGGGUCGAAUACCCGUAGGUACCCUACCCGCUGGGGAUUAUUGCCAUCCCUAAUGUUAGGGGAUCUGAUGAACAUCAAUAAGAAACUUAAUUAACAUGCUUAAUUAGCAGGGUUCUUAUUGAGUAUUUCAUACCAAAUCUAUAAUUUUCCAUUUGAUUGCACUGGAUGUUGGAAAUGUAAGAAGUUUUCCAGGGUCAAGUUAAAAGGCUUCAAGUUAUUGGGUGCACUGGUCAAAUUAAUGUGUUCUGUUGGAUCUGCUCCUGGGCUGCAGCUUGUGGAAGCACUUGAGUUGUUACAUUUGUACAUUGGGCUUUUUUUUUCAGUUUCCUUGGGGCCUAAAAUUGUUCAGAAAUUUUGGUCUAUUCAUUAUCUAUCAACAAUUCUUCUAGGUUCCUCCCACAACCAAAGUCAUAAAGACAUGAAACUCUGAAACCUAUGGAUCCAGCAUCCAUAGAUUUGGACAUUGAUGAUUUUGAUGGCAUGUAACCGGCAAAUAGAGCAAACCGAAACAAGGUUAACUCGUAUCAUAUAUACGAGUCGUGUGUAUGCAUGUUGUCCUUCGCCAAAUAAAAGUUGACAGAAAAGAACAAGAACUUUGUAACUUUGUAUUUGGAAAGUGAAAAGGGCUGAUACCAAUUUGAAUAUAGUUCCUUCUCCUUCUCAAUUCUUCACUAUUGUAAGCCUCAAAACUACUAGGCACCAAAUUGGAAAAAAAAAAAUGAUAAUAAAAGAAAUAUAUG